AUGAACGCUGGCGGCGUGCCUAAUACAUGCAAGUCGAGCGAACGGACGAGAAGCUUGCUUCUCUGAUGUUAGCGGCGGACGGGUGAGUAACACGUGGAUAACCUACCUAUAAGACUGGGAUAACUUCGGGAAACCGGAGCUAAUACCGGAUAAUAUUUUGAACCGCAUGGUUCAAAAGUGAAAGACGGUCUUGCUGUCACUUAUAGAUGGAUCCGCGCUGCAUUAGCUAGUUGGUAAGGUAACGGCUUACCAAGGCAACGAUGCAUAGCAGACCUGAGAGGGUGAUCGGCCACACUGGAACUGAGACACGGUCCAGACUCCUACGGGAGGCAGCAGUAGGGAAUCUUCCGCAAUGGGCGAAAGCCUGACGGAGCAACGCCGCGUGAGUGAUGAAGGUCUUCGGAUCGUAAAACUCUGUUAUUAGGGAAGAACAUAUGUGUAAGUAACUGUGCACAUCUUGACGGUACCUAAUCAGAAAGCCACGGCUAACUACGUG
rnacentral:rRNA from 1 species